rnacentral:sRNA from 1 species
ACCGCCCAGCCGCUCGCAGGCGCCGCACGGAGCUGCGUCCCGGGGACUUGGGGCCGCAGGGAGCUGUGAGUACUCAGGAAGCUGCACUGUGUGGCCUGGAGCCGUCUAUCUGUCCUUCCAGCCACCUCUCUGUCCAACCACCCUUCCACAGACUGAGGCUUGACGCCGGAGCAUCUGUACAGAACAAGGAGAAUACAAGAACAUGCUCUAAAGCCCUUCACAGCAAGACCCAGGAAGCUGCGGGCAAACUCAGACUCGAAGGUAGGAAGCUGGGCGGCCGGGUGGCUGGACCCAGGGCACUGGCUGCUGUGCCCAUGUCCAGAUACCUCCUGCGGGGCCUGCGCUCUCUGUCUGAACACGGUGGACAGUGAAUGAAGAAAGUCAAUUCAGGGAUCGAGAGGGAGGAAUAAGGGCAGGGAAGGGAUGGGCGCGGUGGCUCACGCCUGUAAUCCCAGCAUUUUGGGAGGCCGAGGUGAGUGGAUCACCUGAGGUCAGGAGUUCGAGACUGGCCUGGCCAACAUGGCAAACCCCCAUCUCUACUAAAAAUACAAAAAAAUUAGC